rnacentral:rRNA from 1 species
AUUGAACGCUGGCGGCAGGCCUAACACAUGCAAGUCGAGCGGUAGAGAGGUGCUUGCAUCUCUUGAGAGCGGCGGACGGGUGAGUAAUGCCUAGGAAUCUGCCUAGUGGUGGGGGAUAACGUUCGGAAACGGACGCUAAUACCGCAUACGUCCUACGGGAGAAAGCGGGGGGAUCUUCGGACCUCGCGCCAUUAGAUGAGCCUAGGUCGGAUUAGCUAGUUGGUGAGGUAAUGGCUCACCAAGGCGACGAUCCGUAACUGGUCUGAGAGGAUGAUCAGUCACACUGGAACUGAGACACGGUCCAGACUCCUACGGGAGGCAGCAGUGGGGAAUAUUGGACAAUGGGCGAAAGCCUGAUCCAGCCAUGCCGCGUGUGUGAAGAAGGUCUUCGGAUUGUAAAGCACUUUAAGUUGGGAGGAAGGUAGUAACCUAAUACGUUGCUACUUUGUACGUUACCGACAGAAUAAGCACCGGCUAACUUCGUGCCAGCA